rnacentral:rRNA from 1 species
AUUUUCCGGUUGAUCCUGCCGGACCCGACUGCUAUCAGAAUGAGAUUAAGCCAUGCGAGUCAACGUAGCAAUACGUGGCACACGGCUCAGUAACACGUAGUCAACAUAACCAGAGGACGUGGAUAAACUCGGGAAACUGAGGCUAAACCGCGAUAGACCAAGAUACCUGGAAUGGUUUUUGAUCAAAAUCUAUAUGGCCUUUGGAUUGGACUGCGACCGAUCAGGCUGUUGGUGAGGUAAUGGCCCACCAAACCUGUAACCGGUACGGGCUCUGAGAGGAGGAGCCCGGAGAUGGGUACUGAGAAAAGGACCCAGGCCCUAUGGGGCGCAGCAGGCGCGAAACCUCUGCAAUAGGCGAAAGCCUGACAGGGUUAUUCUGAGUGACUUUCGCUAAGAAAGUCUUUUGGCAUCUCUAAAAAUGGUGUAGAAUAAGGGGUGGGCAAGUCUGGUGUCAGCCGCCGCGGUAAUACCAGCACCCCGAGUGGUCGGGACGAUUAUUGGGCCUAAAGCAUCCGUAGCCGGUUUUACAAGUCCUCCGUUAAAUCCAACUGCUUAACAGAUGGGCCGCGGAGGAUACUAUAAGACUAGGAGGCAGGAGAGGCAAGCGGUACUCAGUGGGUAGGGGUAAAAUCCGUUGAUCCAUUGAAGACCACCAGUGGCGAAGGCGGCUUGCCAGAAUGCGCUCGACGGUGAGGGAUGAAAGCUGGGGGAGCAAACCGGAUUAGAUACCCGGGUAGUCCCAGCUGUAAACGAUGCAGACUCGGUGAUGGACUAGCUUAAUGCUAGUCCAGUGCCGCAGGGAAGCCGUUAAGUCUGCCGCCUGGGUAGUACGGUCGCAAGACUGAAACUUAAAGGAAUUGGCGGGAAU